rnacentral:rRNA from 1 species
UACGUAGGCAGCAAGCGUUGUUCGGAAUUACUGGGCGUAAAGAGUGUGUAGGCGGUGCUCUAAGUUCGUUGUGAAAUCUCCCGGCUUAACUGGGAGGGUGCGGCGGAAACUGGAGUGCUUGAGCGGCGGGAGAAGGAAAGGCCGGAAUUCCUGGUGUAAGCGGUGAAAUGCGUAGAUAUCAGGAGGAACACCUUGUGGGUGUAGACGGCUUUCUGGACCG